ACACUUCUUAAACACAUCUCUUGACCGGGGUGUUCUCACCAUGCCCUUUCUACAAACAAAAAUAAAGAAUGAAGAUGUGGAGACCUGGAGACAGGUGGCACCUCGUGCUUCCUCCGAAGGGAGAGCCCAUUUCCUAACAGCUGGAUCAAAGGCAUGAAAUGAACAUGGAGUCCCUGAAGAUGAAGAGAAGUUACAGGAAUGCAGAUGUGAUUCCUAUGGAUGAGGGUAACCUAGAGGCUAGAAGAACAAUAGGACAGAAGAAGCCUGGGUCCCUGAACAACCUUGUGGAGCAUAGACACCUACGUGGCCUGGACUGCCAGCUCACAAUGGGCCUCUCUGUGAGAGAAGGAAACUUCCCUCUUGUUUAAGCAACUGUGCUUUUGAGAAUCUCUUGGUCUAUACCCUAAUGAAUAAGGCCAUCAUAAAUGGAUAUCAAAGUAAGGAAAUUUGUGUAAAUGAUUUAAUAAAACAUUACCUCAGGUAUGAAAUAA
rnacentral:lncRNA from 1 species